CCCUUAGAUGUUCUGGGCCGCACGCGCGCUACACUGAUGCAUUCAACGAGUUUCUUCCUGGUCCGAGAGGAAUGGGUAACCUUUUGAAAGUGCAUCGUGAUAGGGAUAGACUAUUGCAAUUAUUGGUCUUCAACGAGGAAUUCCUAGUAGACGUAGUUCAUCAGACUGCAUCGAUUACGUCCCUGCACUUUGUACACACCGCCCGUCGCUCCUACCGAUUGAAUGCUCAGGUGAGCCAUUCGGACUUUCAUCAUGCUGGUUUCCAGUUUUGAUGAAGGAAAGUCUUGCGAACCUUAUCAUUUAGAGGAAGGAGAAGUCGUAACA
rnacentral:rRNA from 1 species